ACGCACGCUGGCGGCGUGCUUAACACAUGCAAGUCGAACGGUGAACUCCGCUUGCGGGGGGAUCAGUGGCGACCGGGUGAGUAACACGUGGGCAACCUGCCCUCAGCUCUGGGAUAACUCCAAGAAAUUGGGGCUAAUACCGGAUAUGACCGCUGACCGCAUGGUCUGGUGGUGGAAAGAUUUAUCGGCUGGGGAUGGGCCCGCGGCCUAUCAGCUUGUUGGUGGGGUAGUGGCCUACCAAGGCGACGACGGGUAGCCGGCCUGAGAGGGUGACCGGCCACACUGGGACUGAGACACGGCCCAGACUCCUACGGGAGGCAGCAGUGGGGAAUAUUGCGCAAUGGGCGAAAGCCUGACGCAGCGACGCCGCGUGGGGGAUGACGGCCUUCGGGUUGUAAACCUCUUUCAGCAGGGACGAAGCGAAAGUGACGGUACCUGCAGAAGAAGCACCGGCCAACUACGUG
rnacentral:rRNA from 1 species